rnacentral:rRNA from 1 species
UACGUAGGGUGCAAGCGUUGUCCGGAAUUAUUGGACGUAAAGAGCUCGUAGGCGGUUUGUCGCGUCUGCUGUGAAAACUCGGGGCUUAACUCCGGGCCUGCAGUGGGUACGGGCAGACUAGAGUGCGGUAGGGGAGACUGGAAUCCUGGUGUAGCGGUGAAAUGCGCGAUAUCAGGAGGAACACCGGUGGCGAAGGCGGGUCUCUGGGCCGUAACUGACGCUGAGGAGCGAAAGCGUGGGGAGCGAACAGG